rnacentral:rRNA from 1 species
AGAGUUUGAUCCUGGCUCAGAUUGAACGCUGGCGGCAGGCCUAACACAUGCAAGUCGAACGGUAGCACAGAGAGCUUGCUCUCGGGUGACGAGUGGCGGACGGGUGAGUAAUGUCUGGGAAACUGCCUGAUGGAGGGGGAUAACUACUGGAAACGGUAGCUAAUACCGCAUAACGUCGCAAGACCAAAGAGGGGGACCUUCGGGCCUCUUGCCAUCAGAUGUGCCCAGAUGGGAUUAGCUAGUAGGUGGGGUAACGGCUCACCUAGGCGACGAUCCCUAGCUGGUCUGAGAGGAUGACCAGCCACACUGGAACUGAGACACGGUCCAGACUCCUACGGGAGGCAGCAGUGGGGAAUAUUGCACAAUGGGCGCAAGCCUGAUGCAGCCAUGCCGCGUGUAUGAAGAAGGCCUUCGGGUUGUAAAGUACUUUCAGCGGGGAGGAAGGUGUUGUGGUUAAUAACCGCAGCAAUUGACGUUACCCGCAGAAGAAGCACCGGCUAACUCCGUGCCAGCAGCCGCGGUAAUACGGAGGGUGCAAGCGUUAAUCGGAAUUACUGGGCGUAAAGCGCACGCAGGCGGUCUGUCAAGUCGGAUGUGAAAUCCCCGGGCUCAACCUGGGAACUGCAUUCGAAACUGGCAGGCUAGAGUCUUGUAGAGGGGGGUAGAAUUCCAGGUGUAGCGGUGAAAUGCGUAGAGAUCUGGAGGAAUACCGGUGGCGAAGGCGGCCCCCUGGACAAAGACUGACGCUCAGG